rnacentral:rRNA from 1 species
CAAUAGCGUAUAUUAAAGUUGUUGCGGUUAAAAAGCUCGUAGUUGGAUUUCUGCUGAGGACGACCGGUCCGCCCUUCGGGUGAGUAUCUGGUUUGGCCUUGGCAUCUUCUUGGUGAACGUAUCUGCACUUGACUGUGUGGUGCGGUACCCAGGACUUUUACUUUGAGGAAAUUAGAGUGUUUCAAGCAGGCAUACGCCUUGAAUACAUUAGCAUGGAAUAAUAAGAUAGGACCUCGGUUCUAUUUUGUUGGUUUCUAGAGCUGAGGUAAUGAUUAAUAGGGAUAGUUGGGGGCAUUCGUAUUUAACUGUCAGAGGUGAAAUUCUUGGAUUUGUUAAAGACGGACGACUGCGAAAGCAUUUGCCAAGGAUGUUUUCAUUGA